rfam:Pestalotiopsis fici W106-1 unplaced genomic scaffold PFICI_Scf_12, whole genome shotgun sequence.
GUUGCUCUAGAGAAAUGGUAACUCGCUCGCCUCCUAAGCGAGAGACUGUGGGUUCGAGUCCCACGAGUGACU